UUUCCACACUUCUUUACAUUACCCAUCUCUGCCUUUCUAUUUUGAAUCCCCUUGAGAAAGCCGGAGAGGUUCACUUCGACUAACAUAAAUGUGGAAAUUAGGACAACUACAUUUUUUUCUUCGGUGGAAGAAAGAAGACAAAAGAA
ensembl:ncRNA M02D8.10 ncRNA